UUAAGCGACUAAGCGUACACGGUGGAUGCCCUGGCAGUCAGAGGCGAUGAAGGACGUGCUAAUCUGCGAUAAGCGUCGGUAAGGUGAUAUGAACCGUUAUAACCGGCGAUUUCCGAAUGGGGAAACCCAGUGUGUUUCGACACACUAUCAUUAACUGAAUCCAUAGGUUAAUGAGGCGAACCGGGGGAACUGAAACAUCUAAGUACCCCGAGGAAAAGAAAUCAACCGAGAUUCCCCCAGUAGCGGCGAGCGAACGGGGAGCAGCCCAGAGCCUGAAUCAGUGUGUGUGUUAGUGGAAGCGUCUGGAAAGGCGCGCGAUACAGGGUGACAGCCCCGUACACAAAAAUGCACAUACUGUGAGCUCGAUGAGUAGGGCGGGACACGUGGUAUCCUGUCUGAAUAUGGGGGGACCAUCCUCCAAGGCUAAAUACUCCUGACUGACCGAUAGUGAACCAGUACCGUGAGGGAAAGGCGAAAAGAACCCCGGCGAGGGGAGUGAAAAAGAACCUGAAACCGUGUACGUACAAGCAGUGGGAGCACGCUUAGGCGUGUGACUGCGUACCUUUUGUAUAAUGGGUCAGCGACUUAUAUUCUGUAGCAAGGUUAACCGAAUAGGGGAGCCGAAGGGAAACCGAGUCUUAACUGGGCGUUAAGUUGCAGGGUAUAGACCCGAAACCCGGUGAUCUAGCCAUGGGCAGGUUGAAGGUUGGGUAACACUAACUGGAGGACCGAACCGACUAAUGUUGAAAAAUUAGCGGAUGACUUGUGGCUGGGGGUGAAAGGCCAAUCAAACCGGGAGAUAGCUGGUUCUCCCCGAAAGCUAUUUAGGUAGCGCCUCGUGAAUUCAUCUCCGGGGGUAGAGCACUGUUUCGGCAAGGGGGUCAUCCCGACUUACCAACCCGAUGCAAACUACGAAUACCGGAGAAUGUUAUCACGGGAGACACACGGCGGGUGCUAACGUCCGUCGUGAAGAGGGAAACAACCCAGACCGCCAGCUAAGGUCCCAAAGUCAUGGUUAAGUGGGAAACGAUGUGGGAAGGCCCAGACAGCCAGGAUGUUGGCUUAGAAGCAGCCAUCAUUUAAAGAAAGCGUAAUAGCUCACUGGUCGAGUCGGCCUGCGCGGAAGAUGUAACGGGGCUAAACCAUGCACCGAAGCUGCGGCAGCGACGCUGAUGCGUUGUUGGGUAGGGGAGCGUUCUGUAAGCCUGCGAAGGUGUGCUGUGAGGUAUGCUGGAGGUAUCAGAAGUGCGAAUGCUGACAUAAGUAACGAUAAAGCGGGUGAAAAGCCCGCUCGCCGGAAGACCAAGGGUUCCUGUCCAACGUUAAUCGGGGCAGGGUGAGUCGACCCCUAAGGCGAGGCCGAAAGGCGUAGUCGAUGGGAAACAGGUUAAUAUUCCUGUACUUGGUGUUACUGCGAAGGGGGGACGGAGAAGGCUAUGUUGGCCGGGCGACGGUUGUCCCGGUUUAAGCGUGUAGGCUGGUUUUCCAGGCAAAUCCGGAAAAUCAAGGCUGAGGCGUGAUGACGAGGCACUACGGUGCUGAAGCAACAAAUGCCCUGCUUCCAGGAAAAGCCUCUAAGCAUCAGGUAACAUCAAAUCGUACCCCAAACCGACACAGGUGGUCAGGUAGAGAAUACCAAGGCGCUUGAGAGAACUCGGGUGAAGGAACUAGGCAAAAUGGUGCCGUAACUUCGGGAGAAGGCACGCUGAUAUGUAGGUGAAGUCCCUCGCGGAUGGAGCUGAAAUCAGUCGAAGAUACCAGCUGGCUGCAACUGUUUAUUAAAAACACAGCACUGUGCAAACACGAAAGUGGACGUAUACGGUGUGACGCCUGCCCGGUGCCGGAAGGUUAAUUGAUGGGGUCAGCGCAAGCGAAGCUCUUGAUCGAAGCCCCGGUAAACGGCGGCCGUAACUAUAACGGUCCUAAGGUAGCGAAAUUCCUUGUCGGGUAAGUUCCGACCUGCACGAAUGGCGUAAUGAUGGCCAGGCUGUCUCCACCCGAGACUCAGUGAAAUUGAACUCGCUGUGAAGAUGCAGUGUACCCGCGGCAAGACGGAAAGACCCCGUGAACCUUUACUAUAGCUUGACACUGAACAUUGAGCCUUGAUGUGUAGGAUAGGUGGGAGGCUUUGAAGUGUGGACGCCAGUCUGCAUGGAGCCGACCUUGAAAUACCACCCUUUAAUGUUUGAUGUUCUAACGUGGACCCGUAAUCCGGGUUGCGGACAGUGUCUGGUGGGUAGUUUGACUGGGGCGGUCUCCUCCUAAAGAGUAACGGAGGAGCACGAAGGUUGGCUAAUCCUGGUCGGACAUCAGGAGGUUAGUGCAAUGGCAUAAGCCAGCUUGACUGCGAGCGUGACGGCGCGAGCAGGUGCGAAAGCAGGUCAUAGUGAUCCGGUGGUUCUGAAUGGAAGGGCCAUCGCUCAACGGAUAAAAGGUACUCCGGGGAUAACAGGCUGAUACCGCCCAAGAGUUCAUAUCGACGGCGGUGUUUGGCACCUCGAUGUCGGCUCAUCACAUCCUGGGGCUGAAGUAGGUCCCAAGGGUAUGGCUGUUCGCCAUUUAAAGUGGUACGCGAGCUGGGUUUAGAACGUCGUGAGACAGUUCGGUCCCUAUCUGCCGUGGGCGCUGGAGAAUUGAGGGGGGCUGCUCCUAGUACGAGAGGACCGGAGUGGACGCAUCACUGGUGUUCGGGUUGUCAUGCCAAUGGCACUGCCCGGUAGCUAAAUGCGGAAGAGAUAAGUGCUGAAAGCAUCUAAGCACGAAACUUGCCCCGAGAUGAGUUCUCCCUGACUCCUUGAGAGUCCUGAAGGAACGUUGAAGACGACGACGUUGAUAGGCCGGGUGUGUAAGCGCAGCGAUGCGUUGAGCUAACCGGUACUAAUGAACCGUGAGGCUUAACCUU
rnacentral:rRNA from 2 species